UUAUUUUUGGGUUGGGAUGGGAUGGUAUGGAUAGAGAUAAUGGUCUACACUAGCAGACAUUUCUACAACCAUAUUCGACUCAUCUCUCUUCUCAGAUUCUUUCUUUGUUGGUGUGUCCAUGAACUCACUCUUGUUACCUUCUUUUUCUAGUACUACUACUACUGCUUCUGCUGUUACUUAAACUGCUACAACUUCUGCCUAUUGACCUUUACAAUUCUUCAUGUCUUGCUGCUUGGGUUGCAUAAACUAGAUUUUGAGAGAAGCUGGUGAUAUAACACAUUCACAUGGUUAUGUGUUCUCGAUUUUAUGUUCUUUUUCUUGUUUGAUUUUGGGAAUUUGUGGACUCCUAUAGACUAGAUUUUUCCUGUCAGAGAUUUCUGAUUUAAUAACUGAAGUUCAAAUCUUUGUUGGUCCAUUUGGUGUUCUGGGUUUUGGUUGGUUAGUGGUGGUGGCUAACAGGAUAAAAACAGACUUGUAUUUGGAAUUAGAAACUCAGAAUCUAUGGAUUCUAUGAUUCUUUCUUGUGGGUAUGUGUGAAUUUCUUAUCUUCAAUUUUUGGGUUAUUUCUUGUGCUCAAUCUGAAGUUUUAGCUCCUGUUGGUGGAUAAGAUAGCAUCUUCUCUCAUACCCACUUCUACUUUUCGAUUCCACUUGUUUACAGUGAUUUGGAGUUUGGUGGACUUUGUUCCUCCUUAUUUCUUGUGCCUCCUUUCUUCUUCUAAGUUUGGAUUUUCUUCACGUUGGGUUUUUGCUAGACAGUUUCUGUAGAUUUGAUAGUGGGUCUCUUUCCCUCCUCUCUCUCUCUCUCUCUCUCUCUCUCUCUCUCUCUCUCCUCUUUUCUCUCUCCCCCUUUUAUAUUUUCUACCUGGACUUAGCAGUAAGACCCACUUCAGCUUGGUACUGUUUCUGAGUAGCUUGCGUUGGCUACUGUUUUGGAUGAGUUUACUCCAUGUAUUUGGUUUUGGUUUAAAGGUGGGGCAUCUACUUUGGAUGCUAUGUUGCUGGAUUGUAUCAGUGAUUUCUAUGAACUGGUUCAUUAAUGGUGGAAUUGUGGAGAGCAAGACUGGUUUGCUUGGUGAUGGUGGCAAGAUGUGGCUCAGGUUCUGGGGCAAGAUCUCAGGGAAUAGUUGCAAGAUGCACCAUCACUACUACCAGUAUAUUGGGUCGAAGAGAGUUAGAAAAACAUGGUGGAGAAAGCUCUUGGUGUCAUGGGUAAUUGGCUGGAUCAUGGUCUCUUUAUGGAUCUUAUGGUACAUGAGCUCACAAGCCACCGAGAAGAGGAAAGAGACGCUUGCAAGCAUGUGUGAUGAGAGGGCCAGGAUGCUACAGGAUCAGUUUAAUGUGAGCAUGAACCAUGUACAGGCCAUGUCCAUUUUGAUCUCAACCUUUCACCACGGCAAGAAUCCUUCUGCGAUUGAUCAGAGGACUUUUGCAAGGUACACAGAAAGAACUGCUUUUGAGAGACCCCUCACAAGCGGUGUGGCAUAUGCUGUAAGGGUGCUCCACUCUGAAAGGGAACAAUUUGAGAAGCAACAAGGGUGGACGAUUAAGCGGAUGGAUACCCUUGAACAAAAUCCAGUUCAUAAAGAUGACUAUACACCAGAAUUAUUGGAGCCAUCCCCAAUUCAGGAAGAAUAUGCCCCUGUCAUCUUUGCGCAGGAUACCAUUUCUCACGUUGUUUCUCUUGAUAUGCUGUCUGGAAAAGAAGACAGUGAAAAUGUGUUGCGUGCUAGAGAAUCAGGAACAGGAGUUCUAACUGCUCCAUUUAGGUUACUCAAAACUAACCGUCUCGGGGUUAUAUUGACCUUUGCCAUCUACAAGAAAGAUCUCCCCUCAAAUGCAACUCCAAAUGAGAGGAUUCAAGCCACUGAUGGGUAUCUUGGAGGAGUCUUUGAUAUUGAAUCACUUGUGGAAAAGUUACUUCAACAACUUGCAAGUAAACAAACUAUCCUAGUGGAUGUGUAUGACACUACUAAUGAAUCUCAUCCCAUCAGCAUGUAUGGCUCAAAUGUAUCGGAUGAUGGGUUGCAACAUGUGAGCUCUCUUAAUUUUGGAGAUCCCCAUAGAAAGCAUGAGAUGCACUGCAGAUUCAAACAAAAACCACCAUGGCCAUGGUUAGCAAUAACAACUUCUUUUGGGGUCCUUGUGAUUGCAUUGCUUAUUGGACAUAUUUUCCAUGCAACUGUGAAUAGAAUUGCCAAAGUUGAAGAUGAUUAUCAUGAAAUGAUGGAGCUUAAAAAACGAGCUGAGGCAGCUGAUAUUGCCAAAUCUCAGUUUCUUGCUACAGUUUCCCAUGAGAUCAGAACUCCAAUGAAUGGUGUUCUAGGAAUGUUACAUAUGCUUAUGGACACGGAUCUAGAUGUAACUCAACAAGAUUAUGUCAAAACUGCACAAGCAAGUGGAAAAGCUCUUGUCUCAUUAAUUAACGAGGUUUUGGAUCAAGCAAAAAUUGAAUCUGGUAAGCUUGAGCUUGAGGAUGUACAGUUCAAUCUACGGGCAAUUUUAGAUGAUGUGUUGUCGCUCUUCUCUGACAAGUCUCAAGGGAAAGGAGUAGAGUUGGCAGUUUACAUCUCUGAUAGUGUUCCUGAAAUGCUAAUUGGUGAUCCAGGGAGAUUCCGGCAAAUCAUAAUCAAUCUCAUGGGAAAUUCAAUAAAGUUCACUCAUCAAGGGCACAUAUUUGUCACUGUCCAUCUUGUGGAGGAGGUGAUCGAGUCCAUAGAUGUAGAGACAGAAUCGUCAUCAAGGAACACCUUGAGUGGUUUACCUGUUGCAGAUAGACGCCGCAGCUGGGCAGGAUUUAGGACUUUCAGUCAAGAGGGGUCUAGUCGUACUCUGUUGUCUACCUCGUCUGACCUGAUUAAUCUAAUAAUUUCUGUUGAGGAUACAGGAGAAGGGAUCCCUCUGGAAGCCCAGUCUCGCAUUUUCACUCCUUUUAUGCAGGUUGGUCCAUCCACUUCCCGAAAAUAUGGAGGCACAGGGAUUGGCCUAAGUAUAAGCAAGUGUUUGGUUGGCCUCAUGAAUGGAGAAAUUGGUUUUGUAAGCAUUCCCAAGAUUGGGACCACCUUUACAUUUACUGCUGUUUUUGCCAAUGGCUGCUCUGAUUCAAAUGAGUACAAUAGUUACAAAAUCAGCAACCAGUCUAAUGCUAUCACUUCAGAAUUUCGUGGCAUGACAGCAUUAGUUGUGGAUCCAAGGUCUGUUAGAGCCAAGGUUUCAAGAUAUCAUAUCCAGAGGCUUGGAAUUCAUGUUGAAGUGGUUUCUGAUUUAAAUCAAGCUUUAUGUAGCACAAGCAAUGGGAAUGCAGUUGUCAAUAUGGUUCUUAUUGAACAAGAAGUUUGGGAUAGAGAUUCAAGUGUUUCGGCUCAAUUUGUUAAUAAUAUAAAGAAAAUUGAUGGUGGUGUUUCUCUAAAGCUAUUCCUCCUGGCUAAUUCUAUCAGCUCUUCCAGAACAAAUGAUGCAUCUUCUGGUGUUUAUACCCCAAGUGUCAUCAUGAAGCCCCUGAGGGCAAGCAUGCUGGCUGCAUCUUUACAACGAGCAAUGGGUGUUGGGAAUAAGGGGAAUCCACGCAAUGGGGAACUCGGCAACCUUCUUCUUGGAAGAAAAAUUCUUAUUGUAGAUGACAAUGGUGUGAACCUCAAAGUAGCUGCUGGUGCUUUGAAAAAGUAUGGAGCUGAUGUGGUCUGUGCAGAGAGUGGGGAAAAGGCGAUCAAAUUGCUUACCCCACCCCACCAGUUUGAUGCCUGUUUUAUGGACAUCCAGAUGCCAGAAAUGGAUGGGUUUGAAGCUACCAAAAGAAUUCGUGACAAAGAAUGCAGUUUCAAAAGUACCAUUCAAAAUGGAGAUGCUUCAGUUGGAGCCUAUGAAAAUCUUCCUAAUUGGCAUGUUCCGAUAUUAGCAAUGACUGCAGAUGUAAUCCAAGCUACACACGAGGAAUGCUUGAAGUGUGGAAUGGACGGAUAUGUUUCUAAACCAUUUGAAGCCGAACAACUGUAUAGAGAGGUUUCACGAUUUUUCCAGUCAACUUCCACUGUGAUUUUAUAGAGGGGGAGGACUUCUGUUGAUAACGUGCUCGUGAUACGAGCACAAACACUGUUCUUUAGGAUCUGUUGGUUACUUGAAUGGUUUAAGAGUUUCUUCCAAGAGAAAAACAUUUGUUUUGUUGCAGAGAGUGUAUAUAGAAGCCAUGAUUGAUUGGGCUUAAGUUUCAUUGAUUGUUUUGUGAACCACAUGAUGAAGCUGGUUCAAUUUUCCUUGUAAAGUUGAUCAAAUUUGCUAGUUGUUCAUUAGAGUUGGCCAUGUGAGACUUUGUGCAGAGGCAAAGCUAUUAGAGUAGGACAUUGAAUUUGAUACUCUGAUACCAAUUUCAAAUGGAUGGAGAAAUCCAAUUAUCUGAGUUGGAUCACAGAAGCUAUGGAAUUACAGAGUCUUCUUGUAGAAAUAAAUUGGUGGUGAUCUGAAAGUAUCUCUCUUUCUUUGAGGAAUUGUAGAGUAGGGACAGUAGAUUCAUGUGAAAGGAUGAAAGAUUAGCUUCUGGGCAAAGUUGGAGAGAAACACAUCAUGUAUAUUUACCUCAUUAAUAAGAUGUUGAUGUACUCAAUUACUCUCUUGUUUUCUUCUUCAUUUUGCUUCUAACAAUGCCAACAGUUUGUUGUACCAAGAAUUGAUGCAACUUAUAUAAUGACAGUGUACCAUAUCUCAUUGUUCUUCUCUGAUUUUAA